CUCACCAGGUCAGGACACGGUAAGGAUUGACGGACUGAAGGCUCUUUCUCGAUUCCGUGGAAAGUGGUGCAUGGCCGUUUUUGGUUGGUGGAUCGAUCCGUCUGGUUAAUUCCGUUAACGAACGAGACCUCGGCACUCCGAAUAGCGCGGCGGACGUCGCGGCCUCCGGGCCGUCUUCCGCACGAGCUUCUUAGAGGGACCGUCCCCCGCCGGGGAAGGAGGUGCGAGGCAACGACAGGUCUGUGAUGCCCUUAGAUGUUCUGGGCCGCACGCGCAUUACACUGACGCGUCCAACGGGUGACUCCCGACCCGAAGGGGUCGGGGAAUCCGCAAGGCGCGUCGUGAUGGGGAUUGAACGUUGCAAUUGUUGUUCACGAACGAGGAAUUCCUAGUAGGCGCGGGUCAUCAACCCGCGCCGAUUACGUCCCUGCCCUUUGUACACACCGCCCG
rnacentral:rRNA from 1 species